CCUACGGGUGGCAGCAGUGAGGAAUAUUGGUCAAUGGACGAGAGUCUGAACCAGCCAAGUAGCGUGAAGGAUGACUGCCCUAUGGGUUGUAAACUUCUUUUAUAUGGGAAUAAAAUGUUCCACGUGUGGGAUUUUGUAUGUACCAUAUGAAUAAGGAUCGGCUAACUCCGUGCCAGCAGCCGCGGUAAUACGGAGGAUCCGAGCGUUAUCCGGAUUUAUUGGGUUUAAAGGGAGCGUAGGUGGAUUGUUAAGUCAGUUGUGAAAGUUUGCGUCUCAACCGUAAAAUUGCAGUUGAAACUGGCAGUCUUGAGUACAGUAGAGGUGGGCGGAAUUCGUGGUGUAGCGGUGAAAUGCUUAGAUAUCACGAAGAACUCCGAUUGCGAAGGCAGUUCACUGGACUGCAACUGACACUGAGGCUCGAAAGUGUGGGUAUCAAACAGGAUUAGAUACCCGUGUAGUC
rnacentral:rRNA from 1 species